rnacentral:sRNA from 1 species
UUUUAUUCGCGUUAGUGAUUGCAGUGAAAAUCCUUUUUUGAGGUUUUUCUCCGAAAAAAAGAUUGAAAUGAAAAGCGCGACUCGCC